rnacentral:rRNA from 1 species
CAAUAGCGUAUAUUUAAGUUGUUGCAGUUAAAAAGCUCGUAGUUGGAUUUCGGUUAAGAGCGACCGGUCCGCCGUUUGGUGUGCACUGGUUGGUUUUAACUUCCUGUAGAGGACGUGCUCUGGGUUUAACGACCUGGACUCGGAGUCUACGUGGUUACUUUGAAAAAAUUAGAGUGUUCAAAGCGGGCUUACGCUUGAAUAUUUCAGCAUGGAAUAACACUAUAGGACUCCUGUCCUAUUUCGUUGGUCUCGGGACGGGAGUAAUGAUUAAGAGGAACAGUUGGGGGCAUUCAUAUUUCAUUGUCAGAGGUGAAAUUCUUGGAUUUAUGAAAGACGAACUUCUGCGAAAGCAUUUGCCAAGGAUGUUUUCAUUAA